rnacentral:lncRNA from 1 species
AAUAAACUCUAAUUAUACCUUAAUAAUACUAAAAAAACUUUAAAUAAAUUUAAAAGAAACCUUAAAGAAAUUUUAAAAGAAACAAUAAGAAAACUUAAAGAAAUUGAAAGAAAAUCCACAAUAAACCUUAAAAGAAUCUUUAAGAAGCCCUAAAAAAUAUUAAAAUAAUCAAAAAUAUAUCUUAAAUAAAUCUCAAUCAAAUUCUAAUUUAAUCCUAAUUGAAACCUUAAUGGACUUCAAUCAAAUCCUAAAAAAAUCUUAAAUCCUAAAUCAAUUCCUAGGUCAAAUUCUAGAUCUUAGAUCAAACUCUAAAUCAAAUCCUAGACAAAUCCUAAAUCCUAAACCAAAUCCUAAAUCAAACCCUAGAUAAAUCCUAAAUCCUAAAUCAAAUCCUAGAUCAAAUCUUAGAUCUUAAAUCAAACCCUAAAUCAAACCCUAAAUCAAAUUCUAGAUAAAUUCUAAGUCCUAAAUCAAAUUCUAAAUCAAAUCAUAGACAAAUCUUAAAUCCUAAAUCAAAUCCUAAAUCAAACCUUAGACAAAUCCUAAAUCCUAAACCAAAUCCUAAAUCAAACCCUAGAUCAUAAAUUAAAUCUUAAAUCUUAAAUUAAAUCCUAAAUUAAACCUUAAAUCAAACUUUAGAUAAAUCCUAAAUCCUGAAUCAAAUUCUAAAUCAAAUCCUAAAUAAAUCCUAAAACCUAAAUUAAAUCCUAUAUCAAACUCUAGAUCCUAAAUCAAAUCCUAA